UGCAGUCGAGCGAAUGGAUUAAGAGCUUGCUCUUAUGAAGUUAGCGGCGGACGGGUGAGUAACACGUGGGUAACCUGCCCAUAAGACUGGGAUAACUCCGGGAAACCGGGGCUAAUACCGGAUAACAUUUUGAACCGCAUGGUUCGAAAUUGAAAGGCGGCUUCGGCUGUCACUUAUGGAUGGACCCGCGUCGCAUUAGCUAGUUGGUGAGGUAACGGCUCACCAAGGCAACGAUGCGUAGCCGACCUGAGAGGGUGAUCGGCCACACUGGGACUGAGACACGGCCCAGACUCCUACGGGAGGCAGCAGUAGGGAAUCUUCCGCAAUGGACGAAAGUCUGACGGAGCAACGCCGCGUGAGUGAUGAAGGCUUUCGGGUCGUAAAACUCUGUUGUUAGGGAAGAACAAGUGCUAGUUGAAUAAGCUGGCACCUUGACGGUACCUAACCAGAAAGCCACGGCUAACUACGUGCCAGCAGCCGCGGUAAUACGUAGGUGGCAAGCGUUAUCCGGAAUUAUUGGGCGU
rnacentral:rRNA from 1 species